UAGUGAUGUGUUGUCCAAAAUUGAUAGGAGGAGUGGUUAAUUUUGUUACAAAAGAAUAAUUGGGGAUUAGAUUUGUUAGUGGGUUUGUUAUUUUUUGUAUUUUUAUGGGAUAUGAUCAUAUGGGUGAGGGCACGUGGUAAGACAGGGAUAAAAAUAUGUAACUUGGGUCUUCGGGAGGGACAAAAUUAGGUGUCUACAUCAUGCCCCCUUUGAAUGUAAACACAAAGUGUUUUCAGGCAAAGAAGUAGACAGCGAGACCAAAUUUUGACCCGACCAUUAUUCAAAGAAAGAAACAGAAGGAAGAAGG
rnacentral:lncRNA from 1 species